rnacentral:lncRNA from 10 species
AAAUUAGUAGGACUAUUUUUAUCUUUCAACUUUUAAUUUUCUUAUAAAAGUCAAGUAAAUACAAUGAUUGUUAUUAGCUGAAUAGCAGAUGAGAUCUCAGUAUUUAAAAGAACAGAUUUCUUCUUAUAAACUUGCUUUUGAUUUUAAUUCAAGAAUAAUUAUGCUGGGUUCUUAUGUAUGACUGGACAAAAAAACAUGCGGUUGUGUGUUUUGGCAUGUGUUCUUCCAGAUUUUUCAGUGAUGCUCAUGACAACCAACAAGGGAAAUUUAGAUUGUAAGGCCUUUUUCUAUACCAGAUACUAAUCAUUGCUCUAAGAAAAAUUUCAUCACCUAUUGCUUACUUUUGCUUGAAGACUUUAUGUGUAUACAUGUUGAUUGAUGACUUUUGGUGGUGGAAAAUAAGGAUACGAAAUUCAGAAGAAUAAACUUUUGGAACACAAUCAAAUAAUACCUGCACAACACUUUGGGAGGCCGAGGCAGGCGGAUCACGAGGUCAGGAGAUCGAAACCAUCCUGGCUAACACGGUGAAACCCCGUCUCUACUAAAAAUACAAAAAAAAUUAGCCCGGGCAUGGUGGCGGGCGCCUGUAGUCCCAGCUGCUCGGGAGGCUGAGGCAGGAGAAUGGCGUGAACCUGGG